GAUGAAGAACGCAGUGAAAUGCGAUAAGUAAUGUGAAUUGCAGAAUUCUGUGAAUCAUCGAAUCUUUGAACGCACAUUGCGCCCAUUAGUAUUCUAGUGGGCAUGCCUGUUCGAGCGUCAUUAAGUCCACUUAAGCCCUGCUUAGUGUUGGGAGACUGCUCCAGCGGUGCUACCCUGUAGCUACCCUGCAGCUCCUCAAAGACAGCGGCGGAGUUGUGGUAUCCUCUGAGCUUAGUAACUUGUUCUAGCUUUCGAGUACACCACUUCCCCUGCCGUAAAACCCUUAAUUUUUAAUGGUUGACCUCGGAUCAGGUAGGAAUACCCGCUGAACUUAAGCAUAUCAAUAAGCGGAGGA
rnacentral:misc_RNA from 1 species